CGGCUAACUCGUGGCCAGCAGCCGCGGUAAUACAGGGGGUGGGAGGGUUAAUCGGAAUUACUGGGCGUAAAUCGUGCGUAGACGGUUGCGUAAGUCAGAUGUGAAAGCCCCGGGCUCAACCUGGGAAUUGCAUUUGAGACUGCGUAGCGAGGGUGCGGAAUGGGGAAGCGGAAUUUCCGGUGUAGCGGUGAAAUGCGUAGAUAUCGGAAGGAACACCAGUGGCGAAAGCGGCUUCCUGGUCCAGCACCGACGUUCAGGCACGAAAGCGUGGGGAGCAAACAGGAUUAGAUACCCUGGAGUC
rnacentral:rRNA from 1 species